GAUGAACGCUGGCGGCGUGCCUAAUACAUGCAAGUCGAGCGAACAGACGAGGAGCUUGCUCCUCUGACGUUAGCGGCGGACGGGUGAGUAACACGUGGAUAACCUACCUAUAAGACUGGGAUAACUUCGGGAAACCGGAGCUAAUACCGGAUAAUAUAUUGAACCGCAUGGUUCAAUAGUGAAAGACGGUUUUGCUGUCACUUAUAGAUGGAUCCGCGCCGCAUUAGCUAGUUGGUAAGGUAACGGCUUACCAAGGCAACGAUGCGUAGCCGACCUGAGAGGGUGAUCGGCCACACUGGAACUGAGACACGGUCCAGACUCCUACGGGAGGCAGCAGUAGGGAAUCUUCCGCAAUGGGCGAAAGCCUGACGGAGCAACGCCGCGUGAGUGAUGAAGGUCUUCUGAUCGUAAAACUCUGUUAUUAGGGAAGAACAAAGGUUUAAGUAACUAUGCACGUCUUGACGGUACCUAAUCAGAAAGCCACGGCUAACUACGUG
rnacentral:rRNA from 1 species